UACAGAGGGUGCGAGCGUUAAUCGGAAUUACUGGGCGUAAAGCGUGCGUAGACGGUUAUGUAAGUCAGGUGUGAAAGCCCCGGGCUCAACCUGGGAAUUGCAUUUGAGACUGCAUAGCUAGGGUGCGGAAGAGGGAAGCGGAAUUUCCGGUGUAGCGGUGAAAUGCGUAGAUAUCGGAAGGAACAUCAGUGGCGAAAGCGGCUUCCUGGUCCAGCACCGACGUUCAGGCACGAAAGCGUGGGGAGCAGACAGG
rnacentral:rRNA from 1 species